UUCACCAGACUCAGAGAGCUCCUCUCAGUCUUCACAUCGUUCUUCUUCCGACCCGACAGUAAGGUGCUUGCUUGAGUUGCCGUUGUCAUUCCCGCCACCGCGUCGGCAUCAGAGUCUUUGUACUCUAGCUGCAUCGCGUCCUCGCAGUCUCUCAACCCGACGUCAACAUCGCACGGUUUGCAUCUGCUUGCCGGAGCCAUUUCGUUUCCCAACGGCGAAUUUGAAGGUUUCACUCUCACUCCCAGAGGCAGGUUUCUCCUUCAGUGCGAAUUAGGGGCUGCCUUUCUCAUGUAAUGCUACCGAGAUACUGUAUUUGAGAACUUGGUGGUUUAUGGCAUUAUUGAUCGAGUGAAUUUGCUAAGUGGUUCCCAGGUUCAUUUCGGUGCUCUUUUGUGUUUUUUGUUUCGACUGCUUUCUAGAGGCAAUUUGAUUUCGAGCUUUGACAAGUCCGUCUACUUAUAAACUCGUGCAGCCUACAUGUGUGAAAAAGUGAGUUUCAUCAAGUGGCGCAACAAACUUAUAACAUUGAGGAAUUGACCGAGGUUAUUCGACCAUCAAUUUCAGUUAUGCACAAGGAGUGGUCUGAUGCUAUGCGUACUUUUCAUGACAAGUUUGAUUCUCUGUCUAAUCGCAGACCAUGGGAACAGCGAGGCUAUAAACCAGGCAAAUAUUCAAAAAUGUUACCAGAGGAUGAGGACUAGUCCCUCGGUGAGGAAGAUGAUGAGGAUGGUGAAACUAAUCAAAUUAUGUGUGCCUUGUGUGGUGCCUGUGGGGAAAGCUAUGCUGCAAAUGAAUUCUAGAUUUGUUGUGACAUAUAACAUGUGUAAUUUAAUUUGGAUUUCACCUAGCCUUUUCUGUAUUGUUAGAACUUACAUUCAUAAUCCUUUUGUGUUUGUUGUUUACAACUUUUUUCCAGAAAUAAUA